UAUUCCUAAUGACAAUUUUAUGACUCAUGAGUCAGUUAAUGACAGACUUUGCAUCUGGGUCUUGCAAAACAAGAGGGACCCUGUGUACCUUCAAAAGGGGAAUUCAGUUCAUCCAUCUCCUUUGUGUAAGGAUAAACCUUCUUGGUACUUCCUACCCCAUCCUCUCUGGAAGGGACCAGUGUGAGGACUGAUUUGGUUCGUGCUACAUUCCCACUAAGCAGGGGCUCUGAAAUCAGUCUCUGGAACCAACACAGGCAGCGCAGGGGUGGUCCUGCCAUGGGCGUCACACAGCUGAGCGCAUCUAGAAGAGAGACGGGUGAGCCUGCUCAGAACCCUCUUGAAAGAGUCUGGGCACCUCCUGGGAGAGAACUGACCAGAGGAAGACAAGUCUGCAGAGAGUACUCACCAGGGACAGUGCCCCGGCCACAGGGGCCACAGAGGGAAGUGGGACCAGCGCAGAGCCGCAGCUGCGGAGACCCUGCAGCCCAGGGAGGCUGCCCCAGAAGCCGUGGGAACGCCGCCCUCGGAGUGGCGCGGGGGCAGCAGCCGGGAACUUUGUAAAGUGCGGUGAGAGACUUGGGCUGAAAUGAUCAAAACUGUAUGUGCCGUGUCAGGUCCUGGAGGAGAACCAGGUUUACCAGGCACACUUACGGGCCAUGCGAACAUGCGCCGUGUACAUGCCGUCCGACAUGCUAGGGCCUAGGGAUAGCACUCGUCAUGAUGGCCGGAGGCAAGGCCUCAGGCACAGAAACCUACACGUUAUUCUCGAGCGACCUAGGCCCGGUGGAUUAUCUCCAGUUCUUACCAAUAUGUUUUUAAUUGGAAAAUGUUUAAGUGGAAAAAGUAUGAAGGUAAGUAGCACUUCUAUUGUUUAUUUUAAUGGGGUCCGCUUAGGUGGGGGCUGCAUCAAGAUCAAUUCCAUUACACAUCCUUGCAAAAUCAAAAGGAGUAAGCGUGACACAAAACUUAAGGAAAACAGCAAGUGCAAAAUAAAUAAAUGCAGGAAGAAUAUGCGAGUAGUGGUGACAUGCGAAGAUGAAAGUGAACACGCGCACCUACACAUUUCAAUGCGAAUUAAUGACCUCGCGUUCUGCCCAGGACGCCCUGCUGGCCAGCCACCCAUAGCCCGGGGAGACAGAAGGCGCUGAGCCUCUCCCAGAGGAGUCAGGAUCUGUCCUGCAGCCUGAUGUGCGACACUUCCAUUCCCAGAAGGCCAGACGUCCCUAAGUUCCUAUGCAAAUGUUAAUUGUACUAACUAAAUAUAAUUUGCAUUUCCCAUACUCCUGGAUGUUAGAGUCCCACAGGCCAGGAGCCACUGCUUCUAACAGAUCUCUUACACCCACUAAAAUACCUUUAACUGGGGGCCAGCGUGCUGCAGAUCUCAUGUCAUUCCACACUGGAAACAUUCAGCUUUAUGUUUUCCAAAUGUCUACACGUCAGUUCAGCUCUGCAGCCCCCUGUUAGGAUCUGUCUCGUGGCCGCAGGGUGGAGCCCGGCUGGGGUGCUGGGAAGCUGCAGACAUUUGGAGCCCACAGCCCAUUGGGUAAAACUCACAUUAACGACAUUGUCAGCGCCCAGGUGAUCCGCUGGACUGCCGAUGGCUGGGAAGAAGCUCUCAGCGCUGUAGCGGUGUCGGCUCCCCAUUUCCGGCUGGGCUCUCCAGGGCUCCUCCGGCCUCGGCCCUCCCUGACCCCAGAGUGCCAUCUGGAGCCCGGGCAGGACACCCCCGGGGCAAGCAGGAUGUUUGUGGCAGCGUGCUCUGCCCUCCGGUGUGUGAUCCCCUGGACAGCUGGCAAUGGGUCGGAUCCAAGAAACCAGCAGCAGUGUCUCUCCUGCCCGUAUCUGGAGUAAGCUGCCCACAGAAAAAUAAGUUCUGACCCUUGUGUCAAAACGGGGCCAUGGCCAAGUGCUCCAUCCCUGAGCACAGCGUGCUCCCUUUACACGAGACAUCCAGGGGGGCAGACCCAGUGUGCUAGCCUUAGUGAGAGUUCUAACCCUAUAAACCAUGCAGAUGUCCUGAAAGGGAGAGAAACGUGAGACUUUUUUUCCUAAAUAUACGCCAUGUCCUUUAAAUAUGCUGUGCUCACCGCACAUUGUUGGGGCAAAUCAUAAUACUUACUGAGGAAGAAAUCCACAUGUACUUAUAUUCAUCUAUACAAAAUGUCCACAUACAGUGUAUAUAAUUAUAUAUAUGUUAUAUGUGUGUCAGAAUAUAUAAUGUAUUUAUAUGUUCAUAAUAUAAGAAUAUAUAUAGUAUAUAUGUUUUUAUAUACUAUUGAUAUACAUGUGUAUAGAUACAUUUUAAGUAUUUAAAUAAAUGAGGAAAUCUUAUCUUUGGUUUAUUUAAACACUAAAUCUCUGCUUUUUUAAACAGCUUCUUUAAGGAUUUCAAAGCACCCCUUUUAAAUUCCUUUUUACAGAUUUCUUUUCGGUGCCACUUUAUUUCCGUUAGCCCUCUGCAGGUGUCCUGGCUUCCACGGGAGGAGCCUUUUACAUUAGUCAGACUCUAGAUCAAAGACCCCCUCUCUCCUUCCACGUUCCUGAAGUGGCAGGGGGGCCCUGGAUGGCUGGGGCUCCCUGUGAUCACGCAAGCGGAAACCCUGGGAUGGAAACGGGAAGGAUGUGUGGCCUGGUAGUUCUGCCUGUGGGCUGCUCCCCAUUCUCCUUGGGGCCUCAUGGCGCCAUCAGUCUGGGCCUCUGUGGCAUCCUGUGUGCCUGGGGAAGCAGGAUAUUUGCAUCGCUGGGCAGUAGGGUUUUGAAGUGAAGCUGCCAGGCCUGUUGCACUAGCUGGCUGAGCUCCGUUAUCGUGGGGUGAGGGACGUUUCAGGGUGGCGCUUGGAGAGUACCUUCCUCUUGUGGAAAGGUGACCACUGGUGACCCUGGUUUUUAUUCGGUGACAAAACUAUCCAAGCUUGCAUACCCAAAUGAGCCGAUCAUGAGGGCCUUUUACCGGAAAACAUUCUCUGGGUGACCUACGCUCAGCCAGAAGCGGGGGUGGCAUGCUGGGCCCAGACGUCCCGCUCCCACAAGGCCAGCCCCUGGCUCUCUGAGGAGGAAAGGGCUCAGUGCACAAAAGUGUGGCUAGGGACCCUUUACUGUUUCUGACCGUGGUAGCAUCCCUGGGCCUUCUCAACGGCCUAUGGGGAACAUCGAGGAUUUGGGCCAACAAAAGCAAGGAAAGAAACAUCAUUUACUGAAUGAUAUAAAACAAGACCAUCUUUCGUGGCUGGAGGUUGCACAAAGCGCACACACGGGACCUCUUUCCCCCUGCGGUUCCCCUUUCUCUCUCCCCUCCCUCACGGAAGUGGUCGCCAGCUCUCUGGGAUGUGUCUCCCCAGAGUCAGAGGCGUCAGGAGAACACGGAAGGCUUUGGAAGAGAUUCAAAAGGAAGGGGAUGGAAUCUGAAAAUUAGCAGUCAACAGAAAGCAGUGACUUAGUCGAGCUGGUUUUGUCUCUGUGUUGGUGGCCACAUGCUGGUCAAGAUCGAAUGUGUGUCCCAAGGAGAGUGGAGAGGGUCCGGCCCCAGGAAGCUGGCACAGCAGAGGAGGAGGGCAGUGGCUGCAGCAUCGGCAACAGUGUCCAGCUGAGGAGUGAUGCCUUCGCCGUGUGUGUCCAAAACCAUCUGGCCAGUUCCUGCCCUGCACAGUGGCCCCUACUUUAUCAGGGACACUUGCCUGUGGGGUGGGAGAUGGCAGGACCAGGAGAGCUGUGGAGGUCACAGACAGACAAAGCUCAAAGGCACAGGAUGCUUGCUUCUGAGCUGAGUAUACGGUGAGCCGGCUCCGAUGCCUGCUGCAGAGGACAAGACCCAGACAUCUGGUUUCUUAUGACGCAAGUAAUUAUCUUCUCUCAUCUCGAUCACCAAGUGUGAGCUGUAUGUAUGUAUUUUAUAACUGUAUUUAAAAUAUCCUGCUUCUUUGCAAAGAGAGUCCAAAGGUGAUAGAUUUAAACAAUAAAAUUAAUAGUGAUCU